rnacentral:rRNA from 1 species
GAAUUUUGGACAAUGGGCGAAAGCCUGAUCCAGCCAUGCCGCGUGCAGGAUGAAGGCCUUCGGGUUGUAAACUGCUUUUGUACGGAACGAAACAGUUCUCUCUAAUACAGGGGGCGAAUGACGGUACCGUAAGAAUAAGCACCGGCUAACUACGUGCCAGCAGCCGCGGUAAUACGUAGGGUGCAAGCGUUAAGCGGAAGUACUGGGCGUAAAGCGUGCGCAGGCGGUUAUAUAAGACAGAUGUGAAAUCCCCGGGCUCAACCUGGGAACUGCAUUAGUGACUGUAUAGCUAGAGUGCGGCAGAGGGGGAUGGAAUUCCGCGUGUAGCAGUGAAAUGCGUAGAUAUGCGGAGGAACACCGAUGGCGAAGGCAAUCCCCUGGGCCUGCACUGACGCUCAUGCACGAAAGCGUGGGGAGCAAACAGG